AUGAACUCGCCGGCAAAGCGGGCUACUAUCUGUGAGAUCGCCAAUAGCUACCGCAUAUCCGUCCUCUGCUUACAGGAUACGAAAAUAGAAAACUGGUCCCCAUCCAUUGUUCGCGAGUUAGGUGGUAGCCGGCUGCAAGGCUGCUUUGUCCUCCCCGCCAUCGACACCAGUAGGGGCAUCGCCAUCCUCUGGGAUGCCAAUGCUCUGGACAUCCGCACGCAUGCCAUAGGCGCGUACUCCAUCAUGGAAAAAGUAGUCCUCUCCUCUGGCGACCGCUCCUCGUCGUUUUGGCUCACCACGGUCUAUGGACCCAUAGACGAUGCAAGGCGGGAAGAUUUCCUGUCUGAGCUAACCAAAGUAGCCCCUCCAAUGGCUGAACCAUGGAUCAUCAACGGCGAUUUCAACACAAUUUACGAGGUGAGAGACAAAAACAACCUAAACCUCAACAGACAAAUCAUGGACAGGUUUAGAGUAGCAAUUGACAGGGCAGGGCUACGCGAGAUAAAGUGCAAGAACAGGAAGUACAGAUGGACAAACGAGCGCCAAAACCCGACAAUGGUCAGUAUCGACAAGCAAGUGACAAGGGCAGGGAUCAUGCAGCCCCUUCUGAAUGGCGUUGCACGACUACGGGUUAGUUUAUAUGCCGACGAUGCCAUCAUUUUCGGAAACCCUAGCUGGGAGGAGGUAGAUAUGCUACUAAAGAUUCUCAAACUCUUCGGAGAUACCACUGGACCAUGCAUCAACCAGCAGAAAUCCUCCGUGAUUCUGAUCCGCUGCGACGAUGUCGACCUCGACCACGUGCUGCUGAAUUUCGGCGGAGGAUGA
rnacentral:rRNA from 1 species